UACGUAGGGUGCGAGCGUUAAUCGGAAUUACUGGGCGUAAAGCGCACGUAGGUGGUUUGUUAAGCCAGCUGUGAAAUCCCCGGGCUCAACCUGGGCACUGCGGUUGGAACUGGCAAGCUAGAGUAGGGUAGAGGGGUGUGGAAUUCCAGGUGGAGCGGUGAAAUGCGUAGAUAUCUGGAGGAACAUCAGUGGCGAAGGCGACACCCUGGACUCAUACUGACACUGAGGUGCGAAAGCGUGGGGAGCAAACAGG
rnacentral:rRNA from 1 species